CCCUUAGAUGUUCUGGGCUGCACGCGCGCUACACUGACGCACGCAACAGGUGCCUGCUCCGAGAGGACUGGGUAAUCAUUUGAGUGUGCGUCGUGAUGGGGAUAGAAUAUUGUAAUUAUUACUCUUCAACGAGGAAUUCCUAGUAAGCGCCAGUCAGCAGCUUGCGCUGAUUACGUCCCUGCCCUUUGUACACACCGCCCGUCGCUCCUACCGAUGGGUGAUCCGGUGAGCUCUUCGGACUGCGCGGUCUGCAGUUUCUGCGUUCCGUGCGGAAAGUUGCGCAAACCUUAACAUUUAGAGGAAGGAGAAGUCGUAACA
rnacentral:rRNA from 1 species